rnacentral:rRNA from 1 species
UUCUUAUAGCAUAAUGUUAAUGAACCAGAUGCCAUUAGAACUCCACAGUUAAGUGCAAUCAAGAUAGAGUAGUACUAAUAUGGGUGAUCGCCUAGGAAGUCCUAGUUUUUUACCUGC